AUUGAACGCUGGCGGCAGGCCUAACACAUGCAAGUCGAGCGGAUGAAGGGAGCUUGCUCCUGGAUUCAGCGGCGGACGGGUGAGUAAUGCCUAGGAAUCUGCCUGGUAGUGGGGGAUAACGUCCGGAAACGGGCGCUAAUACCGCAUACGUCCUGAGGGAGAAAGUGGGGGAUCUUCGGACCUCACGCUAUCAGAUGAGCCUAGGUCGGAUUAGCUAGUUGGUUGGGUAAAGGCCUACCAAGGCGACGAUCCGUAACUGGUCUGAGAGGAUGAUCAGUCACACUGGAACUGAGACACGGUCCAGACUCCUACGGGAGGCAGCAGUGGGGAAUAUUGGGCAAUGGGCGAAAGCCUGAUCCAGCCAUGCCGCGUGUGUGAAGAAGGUCUUCGGAUUGUAAAGCACUUUGAGUUGGGAGGAAGAGCAGUAUGUUAAUACCUUGCUGUUUUGACGUUACCAACAGAAUAAGCACCGGCUAACUUCGUG
rnacentral:rRNA from 1 species